AUUUUUAGCCGUGGCGGCCAUCUUGGUUGGUUGACCGGGUCACGCCACACAUUUUUUAAACUAGAUACCCUUAUUAUGAUUGUGGCCAAGUUUGGUUAAAUUUGGCCCAAUAGUUUCAGAGGAGAAGAUUUUUGUAAAAGCUAACGACGACGGACGACGGACGACGACGACGGACGCCGGACGACGACGCCGGACGCCGGACGCCAAGUGAUGGGAAAAGCUCACUUGGCCCUUCGGGCCAGGUGAGCUAAAAAAGCUUGAAGCCAUUUUUAGGAGUGGAAAUUUUCAUAGUCUAAAGAUUGUAAUUUCAGCAAAAAUCAGUGGUGACCAACCAAACAUAAUCUGUAACUCAUUAUAAAAGACUUGCAUACUAAAAAUCUAUUUGACAUGGACUAUAAAUUGGCAGAGCCAUAUAAACCCCAUUUUGAUAGCUGAAUUUAUUUGCAGCUGUCCUAAAAUCUUGCAAACUAUUCUCGAAUUAGUCUCUUUUUGUUCAACAAUCAACAAUAAAUCCAUGCAAAAAAUUUCUAAAUGUACAGUAAUUGUUUAACUUAACAGACAUUAUGCAAUUAUAAUGUACGAAUGUAGUCAAUCAUAUUUUAAUUAACAGAGGAUAUGAAUCUACACAGAAGUCUUACAUAUUCUGAAACAUAAAAAUUGUAAAGCACAUUGCAAAAUUAUUUAUAAUUGUGAAAUAUCAGUGUUACAACCGAUUUUUGAGAAGAUAUAAAAUUCAAUGCAAAUUUGAACGAAAAUCAUCAAAACAAAUGUAAAAAGAGGUCAUGAUAGAAAAAAGAACCCUGUUCAGCAAUAAAUUACAAUCAUAAACUACAAAAUCAUAUAUAAUCACUUUUCAAGUCUAUCAAAAAGACCUUAAUAAUGUGAAACAAAGCAAAAGUGUUCAAUCAUACAUAAUAGCUAUAGGUAGAUCAUGUUGACCCAAGGAUUGAAGAAUUGUACAAAAAGAGUUAAUUUAGCAUUUAAAUGUCACUCACAUACACAAGGGGUUUCACCCAAAAAAAUAUUUUAAGGACUACUUUUAUAGUUAAAAUGUGUAUGUCUAUCAGACUUUAUAUCACAUGUAUAGUAGUACCAUGUUUCAGGGUUAAAAUUGAAAAUUUUCAGUGUUAUAUCAGAAAAGUUUAAGUCUGAUGAAACAUUAAAUUUAAGUGCAGCAUAUAUAAACCACAGGUAUGCAUGAAUCAAGUAAAGAUUAUAAUGGAAAGGUGCUUGACUAUAUACAUGAUAUAUAGAAAAUGCAAAACGAAAAAUUCUAUUUGUUUAUCAAAACAUUCUGAAAUACAAAUAAAACCUGAAAAAAGUCCCCAAAACACUCAAUUUAGGACAAGAAAUUUAAAAUGUUACUGAUCAAUUCUGUACAAACAGGGUUAUGGGUAUUAAUGUCAAUGGUACCAUACUAUAACAUUCGGAUAAAUAAAUAUGUUUCAACAACAAGUUGUUAUAAUCAUUUUUAUGGACAAGGGUUAGAUAUAUUAGCACUGACACUUAUAUCAUGGCAUAAAAUCUGUAGUGAAAAUCUAGAUAUAUUCUCUUAUUUUUGCUCUAGGUGGAAAAAUGUGCUUACUUUAAUCUAAAUUUUGUUUUUUGUUUUUUUUUAAAUCUGAAGGACUGAACAGUCAGUUAGCGUAGCUUUAACCCAGCGCAAAACAAAUUUACAAAAAAAAA
rnacentral:lncRNA from 1 species